rnacentral:rRNA from 2 species
UAGGGAAUCUUCGGCAAUGGACGAAAGUCUGACCGAGCAACGCCGCGUGAGUGAAGAAGGUUUUCGGAUCGUAAAACUCUGUUGUUAGAGAAGAACAAGGACGUUAGUAACUGAACGUCCCCUGACGGUAUCUAACCAGAAAGCCACGGCUAACUACGUGCCAGCAGCCGCGGUAAUACGUAGGUGGCAAGCGUUGUCCGGAUUUAUUGGGCGUAAAGCGAGCGCAGGCGGUUUCUUAAGUCUGAUGUGAAAGCCCCCGGCUCAACCGGGGAGGGUCAUUGGAAACUGGGAGACUUGAGUGCAGAAGAGGAGGGUGGAAUUCCAUGUGUAGCGGUGAAAUGCGUAGAUAUAUGGAGGAACACCAGUGGCGAAGGCGGCUCUCUGGUCUGUAACUGACGCUGAGGCUCGAAAGCGUGGGGAGCAAACAGG